rnacentral:rRNA from 1 species
UACGUAGGGUGCGAGCGUUGUCCGGAAUCAUUGGGCGUAAAGAGCGCGUAGGCGGCCCAGUAAGUCCGCUCUGAAAGUCAGGGGCUCAACCCCUGAAUGCGGGUGGAUACUGCUGGGCUAGAGUCCGGAAGAGGCGAGUGGAAUUCCUGGUGUAGCGGUGAAAUGCGCAGAUAUCAGGAGGAACACCCGUGGCGAAGGCAGGUCUCUGGGCCACUACUGACGCUGAGAAGCGAAAGCAUGGGGAGCGAACAGG